CUUGAAAAAACAAUUCAUUACCUUAGUAUCAUGAAGUUUUUCUUUUUAGUGGAUUUGUCAGCCUGUUCGAGUGAUGUGGAAAAAUAGAGAAUGGGGAACAUUUGUCUGAAAUUCUUUGCUAAAUACAGCUGGAACUUGAGCAAUAUGAAAUAUGAAACAUUGGAUAAUUCCAGAUUUAUUAUCUCUACUCAAGUGUUUGUCUAAUAACGUUUUUUUUUUAAUCUGGAAAUUUGCCAUGUUCAAAUAAUACAAUUUUAGAAUAGUUAGAUGAGUUUUGCUCAAGUUUGAAAGGAUCAUAUAUGCAAUGCUAAUCACUAGGAAUUGUCGAGUUACUUUGUCUCAAGUAGUAUAAGCCAAGAAAAUAUUGUAUGGGGAGUUUUGAAAACUUUGCCUGAUGGAUUUUGAAAGAGAAUUCUUAUUUAUUCUAUCUUAAAGUCAUUUAAUUCAAUGCAUAUAUUCUUGUUUUACCCAGUUUUAAACACUGCUUUAAAAACUAUAAAAAUUAACAUAGGCUUUUAAACCUCUGAAUGGCUUUUAUUUUGUUUACUUCCGGCGUAUCUAUUUUACAGAUGACCACCUUCCUAUUACAAGUUUUAACACUAGAAUGUUUCCACUUUUUACCUUUCACAUUUGAAAGAAUCACAUGACUUAUUUUUAGAGUAUUGUAGUUGCAAAUAGAUGGUGAUUUUCUUCUACUCUGAAGGAAUGUAAAUAAACCAUUACUAGCUAGCUAUGAGUAUAUGUAUAUAUAAACUCAUGUAGGAUACAGGGAGAUGCUUGAAAACUGGAGCAAAAGGGAGGCUCCUUCAAGAGGAAGAUGAUCCAUUGGUUAACCUGAUUUAUGUAUUGUCUCAGGAUAGCGAUUAACUUGUUUCCCACUUUGGAGAUACAUAGCCCACAGUGUUGGGUAGUCAUCAUAGCUUUGUGAAGACCAAAAUGUUUCCUUCCUGUCACUGGCCCAGUGGAUUUCAGUCAAGUUUUUGUAGAUCUGUUGGAGGGGCCUAUGUGUAGAUCACCUGCUGCGACAGGAACAGGGAGGUACUGGUAGAGUGGAUCAUU